AGUGAACGCUGGCGGCGUGCUUAACACAUGCAAGUCGAACGAGAACGGAUUAUAGCUUGCUAUAGUUGUCAGCUAAGUGGCGCACGGGUGAGUAAUGUAUAGGUAAUAUGCCUCUUACUAAGGGAUAACAAAUGGAAACGUUUGCUAAUACCUUAUACUCCUUAUUAACAGAAGUUAAUAAGGGAAAGAUUUAUUGGUAAGAGAUUAGCCUGUAUUGUAUCAGUUAGUUGGUGGGGUAAUGGCUUACCAAGACUAUGACACAUAACUGGUUUGAGAGGAGAAUCAGUCAAACGGGAAAUGAAACACGGUCCGGACUCCUACGGGAGGCAGCAGGGGGGAAUAUUGCAAAAUGACAAAAGUCUGAUGCAGCAACGCCGGGUGGAGGAUGACACAUUUCGGUGCGUAAACUCCUUUUAUAGGAGAAGAUAAGGACGGUAUUAUAUGAAUAAGCCCCGGCUAACUCCGUGCCAGCAGCCGCCGUAA
rnacentral:rRNA from 1 species